GACAGAGGGUGCAAACGUUGUUCGGAAUUACUGGGCGUAAAGCGUGUGUAGGCUGCUACGUAAGUCGGAUGUGAAAGCCCCGGGCUCAACCCGGGAAGUGCACUCGAUACUGCGUAGCUUGAGUCUCGGAGAGGUUGGUGGAAUUCAUGGUGUAGCAGUGAAAUGCGUAGAAGAUCAGGAGGAACACCGAUGGCGAAAGGCAGGUCUCUGGGCCAUUACUGACACUGAGAAGCGAAAGCAUGGGGAGC
rnacentral:rRNA from 1 species